rnacentral:rRNA from 1 species
UACGUAGGGUGCGAGCGUUAAUCGGAAUUACUGGGCGUAAAGCGUGCGCAGGCGGUUUGAUAAGACAGGCGUGAAAUCCCCGGGCUCAACCUGGGAACUGCGUUUGUGACUGUCUCACUAGAGUACGGCAGAGGGGGGUGGAAUUCCACGUGUAGCAGUGAAAUGCGUAGAGAUGUGGAGGAACACCAAUGGCGAAGGCAGCCCCCUGGGUCGAUACUGACGCUCAUGCACGAAAGCGUGGGUAGCAAACAGGAUUAGAUACCCUGGUAGUCCACGCCCUAAACGAUGUCAACUAGGUGUUGGGUGGGUAAAACCAUUUAGUACCGUAGCUAACGCGAGAAGUUGACCGCCUGGGGAGUACGGCCGCAAGGUUA